GACGAACGCUGGCGGCGUGCUUAACACAUGCAAGUCGAACGGAAAGGCCUGCUUUCCCUUGUGGAUUGCGGGUACUCGAGUGGCGAACGGGUGAGUAACACGUGAGUGAUCUGCCCCCAACUUGGGUAUAAGCCUGGGAAACUGGGUCUAAUUCCCGAUAGGACUGCAGGGUGGUGCCUGUGGUGGAAAACGAUUUUCUAGUGGUUGGGGAUGAGCUCGCGGCCUAUCAGCUUGUUGGUGGGGUAAUGGCCUACCAAGGCGGCGACGGGUAGCCGGCCUGGGAGGGUGGACGGCCAGAUUGGGACUGAGAUACGGCCCAGACUCCUACGGGAGGCAGCAGUGGGGAAUAUUAGACGAUGGGCGGAAGCCUGAUGCAGCGACGCCGCGUGGGGGAUGACGGCCUUCGGGUUGUAAACUCCUUUCGACCGCGAGGAAGCCACCUGGUUGGAAGGGUGGUGACGGUAGUGGUAGAAGAAGCACCGGCUAACUACGUG
rnacentral:rRNA from 1 species